AACGCUGGCGGCGUGCUUAACACAUGCAAGUCACGGGGCGGAGCAAUCCGCAACCGGCGAACGGGUGCGUAACACGUGAGCGACCUGCCCCUUGCGGGGGAUAGCCGGCCCAACGGCCGGGUAAUACCGCAUACGGUUCUUUCCGGGGCAUCUCGGGGAGAAGAAACCUCCGGGGCGGAGGAGGGGCUCGCGGCCUAUCAGCUAGUUGCGGGGUAACGGCCCACCAAGGCGGUNACGGGUAGCUGGUCUGAGAGGAUGGCCAGCCACAUUGGGACUGAGAGACGGCCCAGACUCCUACGGGAGGCAGCAGUGAGGAAUAUUGGUCAAUGGGCGGGAGCCUGAACCAGCCAAGUCGCGUGAGGGAAGACGGCCCUACGGGUUGUAAACCUCUUUAGUCGGGGAGCAAAAAGGACCACGCGUGGUCCAUUGAGCGUACCCGAAGAAUAAGCAUCGGCUAACUCCGUG
rnacentral:rRNA from 1 species